GGGUUGUUAGCUCAAUGGUGGAGCAAGUGGCUGUUAACCACGAGGCUAUAGGUUCGAGUCCUAUACUUCCCG
rnacentral:tRNA from 2 species